UCAAAGUCCUUACCUGAUCCUUCAUCAUGAUGAUGGGUACUCUGUCCAUGGAGAAAUUUAAUGGAUGCAUUCUGCAAUGUUAUUUAAAGUUGUAGUCUCUGGAUUGGCAUUUAGCAUACUAUGUUCCGAUUGCCAUUUUAUUCUGACUACUUUUUUCACGUGGUUUCCCCCUUUUGGUAUCAUUGUUAUUUUUCAAUGGAAAAUGAUACUAUGCCAAACUUUGGAGGUUUUGCAUAACAUUACCACUCUAUUCGAGAACGACACAAGACUUAAUUUCAUCUUCACCCCGGUAACAAGCUUUUUCGGAAACUGCUUCAACCGGGUAACAAGCUUUCUCGGAAACUGCUGGAACAAUGUCGCCGGAAAUGAGAACCCAUGAGGAGAUAUUCUUCCGGUGCAAUCUCAGAGUCAUUAAAUACUGUUAUUUCCUUUUAUUGUUAUUUCUUUUUAUUGUUAUUUCCUUUGAAUGCAUUCUAUGCUGCUUUGACUCCUAUUUUUUGCUGACCAAUGAUGCCAGGAUGUAACCCUUUCUCAACUGUAAGCUACAAAAGGAAAAAGCUAUCAACAGAAAAAAUUCAGAGCUGAAAGUUAAUCUUGUAAAUAUAUUCAAA
rnacentral:lncRNA from 1 species